rnacentral:rRNA from 1 species
AGAUUGAACGCUGGCGGCAGGCCUAACACAUGCAAGUCGAGCGGUAGAGAGGUGCUUGCACCUCUUGAGAGCGGCGGACGGGUGAGUAAUGCCUAGGAAUCUGCCUAGUGGUGGGGGAUAACGUUCGGAAACGGACGCUAAUACCGCAUACGUCCUACGGGAGAAAGCGGGGGACCUUCGGGCCUCGCGCCAUUAGAUGAGCCUAGGUCGGAUUAGCUAGUUGGUGAGGUAAUGGCUCACCAAGGCGACGAUCCGUAACUGGUCUGAGAGGAUGAUCAGUCACACUGGAACUGAGACACGGUCCAGACUCCUACGGGAGGCAGCAGUGGGGAAUAUUGGACAAUGGGCGAAAGCCUGAUCCAGCCAUGCCGCGUGUGUGAAGAAGGUCUUCGGAUUGUAAAGCACUUUAAGUUGGAGGAAGGGUUGUAAACUUAAUACGUUAGCAAACUUUGAACGUUUACCGACAAGAAUAAGCACCGGCUAACUUCGUGCCAGCAGCCGUACG